rnacentral:rRNA from 1 species
AGAGUUUGAUCCUGGCUCAGAAUCAACGCUGGCGGCGUGCCUCAGACAUGCAAGUCGAACGAGAACCUCCCUUCGGGGAGGGGACAGUGGCGCACGGGUGAGUAACACGUGGGUAAUUUACCUUUGGGUGGGGAACAACAGCCGGAAACGGCUGCUAAUACCGCAUAAUGCAGCGGCUCGACAUCGAGACAGUUGUUAAAGCGGGGGAUCGCAAGACCUCGCGCCUAAAGAGAAGCCCGCGGCAGAUUAGCUAGUUGGUAGGGUAAUGGCCUACCAAGGCAACGAUCUGUAACCGGCCUGAGAGGGCGGUCGGUCACACUGACACUGACAUACGGGUCAGACUCCUACGGGAGGCAGCAGUCGGGAAUUUUGGGCAAUGGGCGAAAGCCUGACCCAGCAACGCCGCGUGAAGGAUGAAGCUUUUCGGAGUGUAAACUUCACAAGAAUGGGAAGAAUAAGUGUGGGAUAAUACCCUUCACGAUGACGGUACCAUUUGUAAGCUCCGGCUAACUCCGUGCCAGCAGCCGCGGUAAUACGGGGGGAGCAAGCGUUGUUCGGAUUUACUGGGCGUAAAGGGCGCGUAGGCGGCGCGACAAGUCACUUGUGAAAUCUCUGAGCUCAACUCAGAACGGUCAAGUGAUACUGCCGUGCUAGAGUGCGGAAGGGGCAACUGGAAUUCUUGGUGUAGCGGUGAAAUGCGUAGAUAUCAAGAGGAACACCUGCGGCGAAGGCGGGUUGCUGGGCCGACACUGACGCUGAGGCGCGAAAGCUAGGGGAGCGAACGGGAUUAGAUACCCUAGUAGUCC